GUUGACCUCGGAUCAGGUAGGAAUACCCGCUGAACUUAAGCAUAUCAAUAAGCGGAGGAAAAGAAACCAACAGGGAUUG
rnacentral:rRNA from 19 species